UGUACACAUCCCGGGUGGCGGCGGGUUUGUUCUCGGUGAGCAGGCAAAAGGUCGUAUUCCGAUCGCAACUACAAAGAUAUGUUUGGCCAUAACUCACCCAUGGCGGCGACCGAAAACUUCCUCCAGGCCAUCGUUGCACACAUCCUCAUCGGCGGCAAUGAAGGCAGCCGCCACAACUCUGAAAGCAUUUAGCAUAAAUUACAAGUUGUGCCAACCAGCUGCACAUCGAUGCGACUCACUUGAUCCUGUGCUCGCUGAAGGAUAUGCGAAAUGGCCAGAGCCAGCGACGCGUCAACAGGUUGCAGUCGCGAAAGGGAGCGCCCCACUCCUGGGUGCCGUCCGUGCUGUUCCAGGCCGCACUGUAGUCGAGGAAAACAAUACAUUUAUGGGCAACUUUCCAAGAUUAUACGGCUUAUGGUCUAUUCGAAUUAAGCGAUGCACAUAAUUUAGGCAGGCUACGAUGCAUAUUGAAUUUAAUUGUGUUUAUCUUUUAGAGUAAUUAGUAUUUGCAUUUCAAAUCCAUAAGAUAAUUGAUUUUAAUUGCUUAAAGCGUUGAAAAUAAACCCAUAUAUCCUCUCAAAA